rnacentral:rRNA from 1 species
UGGGGAAUUUUGGACAAUGGGCGAAAGCCUGAUCCAGCAAUGCCGCGUGUGUGAAGAAGGCCUUCGGGUUGUAAAGCACUUUUGUCCGGAAAGAAAUCCUUGGCUCUAAUACAGUCGGGGGAUGACGGUACCGGAAGAAUAAGCACCGGCUAACUACGUGCCAGCAGCCGCGGUAAUACGUAGGGUGCAAGCGUUAAUCGGAAUUACUGGGCGUAAAGCGUGCGCAGGCGGUUUGCUAAGACCGAUGUGAAAUCCCCGGGCUCAACCUGGGAACUGCAUUGGUGACUGGCAGGCUAGAGUAUGGCAGAGGGGGGUAGAAUUCCACGUGUAGCAGUGAAAUGCGUAGAGAUGUGGAGGAAUACCGAUGGCGAAGGCAGCCCCCUGGGCCAAUACUGACGCUCAUGCACGAAAGCGUGGGGGAGCAAACAGGAUUAGAUACCCUGGUAGUCCACGCCCUAAAACGAUGUCAACUAGUUGUUGGGGAUUCAUUUCCUUAGUAACGUAGCUAACGCGUGAAGUUGACCGCCUGGGGAGUACGGUCGCAAGAUUAAAACUUAAAGGAAUUGAC